UACGGAGGGGGCUAGCGUUGUUCGGAAUUACUGGGCGUAAAGCGUACGUAGGCGGCCUUGUAAGUUAGAGGUGAAAGCCCGGAGCUCAACUCCGGAAUUGCCUUUAAGACUGCAUCGCUUGAAUCAUGGAGAGGUUAGUGGAAUUCCGAGUGUAGAGGUGAAAUUCGUAGAUAUUCGGAAGAACACCAGUGGCGAAGGCGACUAACUGGACAUGUAUUGACGCUGAGGUACGAAAGCGUGGGGAGCAAACAGG
rnacentral:rRNA from 1 species